AUUAAACUGAAUCGAAUUUGUCUAAAUUAAACUAAAUUUAUAUUAAUUCACAUCAUUAUAAAAUUGAGGUAAGAAGUCAAAAACCUCAACAAAAAUCUAUCAAGAGUGUUUCACUUCCAAAUUGUCAAAACCACCCCCUCCCUCUAGGGCAAAAAAAAAAAACACAAACCCUAACUUGCACUAAGGGGAAAAUUACGAAAACCAAAUUUUUUAAAAAAAUUCUCCUCCACCAUGUCUGUCGACGGCUCAUUUGAUCGGAGAAGAGAGCAAACUCAGGCGAUUACCGCCGCAAAUGGAAAUGGCGUAUUAGUUUCUACGUCGACAGCUACGGCAAUGGUGUCAACUCAUCGGCUGAAGUUAAACCCUAACACAGAGCACAAACCUGACAGCUAUGAAGACUUAUCCCUAACAUUGAAGUUCAAUCCUCUGCUUUUUAGUUGCCUUGAGCGUUACUUGCCUCCUUCCAUUAUUAGUGCUUCGCGUGAUUCCAAGGCUCAGUUUAUGAGCGACAUUUUGCUCAAGUAUUCCCCUGAAGGAGAGAGAAUUAGGGCUCAGAGACAUAAGGACUACAAGCAGAAGAUUAUUACGAACUAUCAGCAACGUCACAAAGAGCUGUAUAGCAUGCAUGCUACAAACUUUUUUGUCCCUUCAUUUCUUAAAGCAAUUCAUGAGAAUACAGAGGAAAGUCUUAGAAGCAUUAUGGCUGAGCCUGCACCUGGGAUUUUCACCUUUGACAUGCUACAGCCUCAGUUCUGUGAUAUGUUACUGGAGGAGGUAGAACAUAUUUAUAAGUGGGUUUGUGAUACAAAUUGCAAAAUCAUGCGACCGAAUACAAUGAACAAAUUUGGUGCCGUGCUUGAUGACUUUGGCUUGGAUAAUAUGCUUGAUAAACUAAUGGAGGACUUUAUACGUCCCAUCUCGAAAAUUUUCUUCCCUGAAGUUGGUGGAACAACUCUAGAUUCCCAUCAUGGUUUUGUUGUCCAAUAUGGACUGGAUAAGGAUGUCGAUUUAGGUUUUCAUGUGGAUGAUGCUGAAGUUACUUUGAAUGUAUGCUUGGGCACGGAAUUUUCUGGUGGAGAAUUAUUUUUUCGAGGUGUUAGAUGUGAGAAACAUGUUAAUACAGAAACUCAGGCCGAGGAAAUUUUAGAUUACUCCCAUGUUCCUGGACGUGCUGUUCUUCAUCGUGGUCGCCAUCGCCAUGGCGCUAGAGCCACUACUAAUGGGAAGAGAAUAAACUUGAUCUUAUGGUGCAGAAGGUAUCUCCAAUGCUUCGACAUUUUGUAUAUAUACCUUGUUCCGUCUUCCGAGAGCUGAAGAAAUACCAGAAGGAUUUCUCUAGCUGGUGUGGGGAGUGUCAACGAGAGAAGAAAGAAAGGCAGCAGUUGUCAAUUUCUGCAACCAAAGAGGAAUUAUUGAAGAAGGACGGGGAAUCGGCAUCCUAAGCAAUGCUCUGGCCAUCUUGUAAAAAAGUGGAGGUCGUCUUGGUCGGGAACAAUUUUUUGUCUAUAUAUAGCAGUAAGGAGGACUGGAGGAGUGGUCUUGCUAUAUAAUUUAAGGUAGCUCUUUUGCAGAAUACUUGUAAAUUCAGGUCUUCCUUAUUCUUAGUUUUUCUAGUAUGUAGUAGCCAUACUCUUCAGAUAGGCUGAAUUCUGACAACACUCAUCCUCCCAAUGUGUAUUUGCAUAUGUGCUUUUCAUUGUAUGAGUGGAGCAUUGCGACCUUUUUCGCAUCAAGUGCUUCCAAAAUUGGUCAGAGUUUAUGAGAAUCUUUUUUUUUUUU